GAUAAAACUAAAAAAAAUAUAUGAUGUACAUUACCAUGUAAACUUCCACCGAAAAUUGUUUUGAACGAGAUCUAGUAAGUAGUUUUUUUUUAUACGGGGAUAGGUCUUCAAAAAUGAUAUUGAGGUUUGUAAUAUCAUUUUUUUCUAAACUGAAUAGUUUGCGCGAGAGACACUUCCAAAGUGGUAAAAUGUGUGUCCCCCCCCCUGUAACUUCUAAAAUAAGAGAAUGAUAAAACUAAAAAAAAUAUAUGAUGUACAUUACCAUGUAAACUUCCACCGAAAAUUGGUUUGAACGAGAUCUAGCAAGUAGUUUUUUUUUAAUACAUCAUAAA